rnacentral:rRNA from 1 species
UACGGGGGGAGCAAGCGUUGUUCGGAUUUACUGGGCGUAAAGGGCGCGUAGGCGGUCAGCACAAGUCAGUUGUGAAAUCUCCGGGCUUAACUCGGAAAGGUCAACUGAUACUGUGCGACUAGAGUGCGGAAGGGGCAACUGGAAUUCUCGGUGUAGCGGUGAAAUGCGCAGAUAUCAGGAGGAACACCGAUGGCGAAGGCAGGUCUCUGGGCAUUAACUGACGCUGAGGAGCGAAAGCAUGGGGAGCGAACAGG